rnacentral:rRNA from 1 species
UACGGGGGGAGCAAGCGUUGUUCGGAUUUACUGGGCGUAAAGGGCGCGUAGGCGGUCAGCACAGGUCCGUUGUGAAAUCUCCGGGCUUAACUCGGAAAGGUCAACUGAUACUGUGCGACUAGAGUGCAGAAGGGGCAACUGGAAUUCUCGGUGUAGCGGUGAAAUGCGUAGAUAUCGAGAGGAACACCUGCGGCGAAGGCGGGUUGCUGGGCUGACACUGACGCUGAUGCGCGAAAGCCAGGGGAGCGAACGGG